AUUGAACGCUGGCGGCAGGCCUAACACAUGCAAGUCGAACGAGUGGCGGACGGGUGAGUAAUGUCUGGGAAACUGCCUGAUGGAGGGGGAUAACUACUGGAAACGGUAGCUAAUACCGCAUACCAUCAGAUGUGCCCAGAUGGGAUUGGCUAGUUUGUGGGGUAACGGCUCACCAAGGCGACGAUCCCUAGCUGGUCUGAGAGGAUGACCAGGCACACUGGAACGGAGAGACGGUGCAGACGCCUAUGAGAGGCAACAGUGGGGAAGAUUGCACAAUGGGCGCAGGCGUGAUGCAGCCAUGCCGCGUGUAUGAAGAAGGCCUUCGGGUUGUAAAGUACUUUCAGCUGGGAGGCGUUACCCGCAGAAGAAGCACCGGCUAACUCCGGGCCAGCCGCCGCGGUAAUUC
rnacentral:rRNA from 1 species